GCCUAUCAGAGUGUCUGAACCUGGUUCAUGUGGCAUGAUGACAGUAGCAUUGACUCCCCUACAUUCUUCUGUCAUUAUGCACCCACUGUGCAUGUGUCUACAGCCCGCAUCUUCACCAUCCCCUCCAAACUGAUCCCACCCUUCAUUAUUAUUGCACACAUAAUAAUCAGUCAUCGGAUAUUCCAGCAAAUGCAUUUUUACCCACUCUUGCUUGCUGCAUGUCUAUCACUGCCAUCAGCAGAGAGUUUGGAUCUGAUCUGUAAGACUCAGUAUCUUCCAAAGCGGUGAGACCGAGGUCGCCUAGAGCAUUGCAAGACUCAUCAGGCAGGCUGAGAAAACCCUUGAGAUGUAUUGAGGGCUGAGGUUAGAUGUCAGAACGGUUGAUCGUCACUCUACAUGUACACACAGCUC
rnacentral:sRNA from 1 species